rnacentral:rRNA from 1 species
UGAGGAAUAUUGGUCAAUGGGCGCGAGCCUGAACCAGCCAAGUAGCGUGCAGGAUGACGGCCCUAUGGGUUGUAAACUGCUUUUAUGUGGGGAUAAAGUGAGCUACGUGUAGUUUAUUGCAGGUACCACAUGAAUAAGGACCGGCUAAUUCCGUGCCAGCAGUCGCGGUAAUACGGAAGGUCCAGGCGUUAUCCGGAUUUAUUGGGUUUAAAGGGAGCGUAGGCCGUGGAUUAAGCGUGUUGUGAAAUGUAGACGCUCAACGUCUGAAUUGCAGCGCGAACUGGUUCACUUGAGUAUGCGCAACGUAGGCGGAAUUCGUCGUGUAGCGGUGAAAUGCUUAGAUAUGACGAAGAACUCCGAUUGCGAAGGCAGCUUGCGGGAGCACAACUGACGCUGAAGCUCGAAGGUGCGGGUAUCAAACAGGAUUAGAUACCCUGGUAGUCCGCACAGUAAACGAUGGAUGCCCGUUGUUAGUUCACUUAGGAAUUAGCGACCAAGCGAAAGCAUUAAGCAUCCCACCUGGGGAGUACGCCGGCAACGGUG